rnacentral:rRNA from 1 species
ACGUAGGGGGCGAGCGUUGUCCGGAAUUACUGGGCGUAAAGAGCACGUAGGCGGAUAUUUAAGUCAGGUGUGAAAGACCGCAGCUCAACUGCGGGGUUGCACUUGAAACUGGAUAUCUUGAGGGCAGGAGAGGUCAGUAGAAUUCCUGGUGUAGCGGUGAAAUGCGUAGAAAUCAGGAGGAAUACCAGUGGCGAAGGCGGCUGACUGGACUGACCCUGACGCUGAGGUGCGAAAGCGUGGGGAGCAAACAGGAUUAGAUACCC